rnacentral:rRNA from 1 species
AUGCAAGUCGAACGGUGAAGCAGAGCUUGCUCUGUGGAUCAGUGGCGAACGGGUGAGUAACACGUGAGCAACCUGCCCCUGACUCUGGGAUAAGCGCUGGAAACGGCGUCUAAUACUGGAUAUGAGCUGCGAUCGCAUGGUCAGCAGUUGGAAAGAUUUUUCGGUCUGGGAUGGGCUCACGGCCUAUCAGCUUGUUGGUGAGGUAAUGGCUCACCAAGGCGUCGACGGGUAGCCGGCCUGAGAGGGUGACCGGCCACACUGGGACUGAGACACGGCCCAGACUCCUACGGGAGGCAGCAGUGGGGAAUAUUGCACAAUGGGCGAAAGCCUGAUGCAGCAACGCCGCGUGAGGGAUGACGGCCUUCGGGUUGUAAACCUCUUUUAGCAGGGAAGAAGCGAAAGUGACGGUACCUGCAGAAAAAGCGCCGGCUAACUACGUGCCAGCAGCCGCGGUAAUACGUAGGGCGCAAGCGUUAUCCGGAAUUAUUGGGCGUAAAGAGCUCGUAGGCGGUUUGUCGCGUCUGCUGUGAAAUCCCGAGGCUCAACCUCGGGUCUGCAGUGGGUACGGGCAGACUAGAGUGCGGUAGGGGAGAUUGGAAUUCCUGGUGUAGCGGUGGAAUGCGCAGAUAUCAGGAGGAACACCGAUGGCGAAGGCAGAUCUCUGGGCCGUUACUGACGCUGAGGAGCGAAAGGGUGGGGAGCAAACAGGCUUAGAUACCCUGGUAGUCCACCCCGUAAACGUUGGGAACUAGUUGUGGGGUCCAUUCCACGGAUUCCGUGACGCAGCUAACGCAUUAAGUUCCCCGCCUGGGGAGUACGGCCGCAAGGCUAAAACUCAAAGGAAUUGACGGGGACCCGCACAAGCGGCGGAGCAUGCGGAUUAAUUCGAUGCAACGCGAAGAACCUUACCAAGGCUUGACAUAUACGAGAACGGGCC